rnacentral:rRNA from 1 species
UACGUGGUACGGAUCUGAAAGGCAAAGGACUUACUCUUCGGAGUGAGAGCGUACACAGGUGCUGCAUGGCUGUCGUCAGCUCGUGUCGUGAGAUGUGGGUUAAGUCCCGCAACGAGCGCAACCCUGCAUUCAGUUGCCAUCGGUAAGGCCGGGCACUCUGGAUGGACUGCCGGCGACAAGCCAGAGGAAGGUGGGGACGACGUCAAGUCAUCAUGGCCCUUAUGUCCAGGGCGACACACGUGCUACAAUGGCCGGCACAACGGGAAGCGAAGGGGCGACCCUGAGCGGAUCCCACAAAAGCCGGUCUCAGUUCGGAUUGCAGUCUGCAACUCGACUGCAUGAAGUUGGAAUCGCUAGUAAUCGUGGAUCAGCCAAGCCGCGGUGAAUACGUUCCCGGGCCUU